GGAGAAUUACUCAAGAGGCUGAAGAGGACGGUUUGCUAAAUCGUUAGGUCGGGAAACCGGCGCGGGGGUUCGAAUCCCCCAUUCUCCG
rfam:Streptococcus mutans TA159, complete genome.